UGGGGAAUCUUAGACAAUGGGGGAAACCCUGAUCUAGCCAUGCCGCGUGAGCGAUGAAGGCCUUAGGGUUGUAAAGCUCUUUCAGCUGGGAAGAUAAUGACGGUACCAGCAGAAGAAGCCCCGGCUAACUCCGUGCCAGCAGCCGCGGUAAUACGGAGGGGGCUAGCGUUGUUCGGAAUUACUGGGCGUAAAGCGCACGUAGGCGGAUUAGUCAGUCAGAGGUGAAAUCCCAGGGCUCAACCCUGGAACUGCCUUUGAUACUGCUAGUCUUGAGGUCGAGAGAGGUGAGUGGAAUUCCGAGUGUAGAGGUGAAAUUCGUAGAUAUUCGGAGGAACACCAGUGGCGAAGGCGGCUCACUGGCUCGAUACUGACGCUGAGGUGCGAAAGCGUGGGGAGCAAAACAGGAUUAGAUACCCUGGUAGUCCACGCCGUAAACGAUGAAUGCCAGUCGUCGGGUUGCAUGCAAUUCGGUGACACACCUAACGGAUUAAGCAUUCCGCCUGAGGAGUACGGUCGCAAGAUUAAAACUUAAAUGAAUUGACGGGGGUCAUAGCUGUUUCCUG
rnacentral:rRNA from 1 species